CAACCCGUCUCUGUUGCAAAAGAGUGGGAAGAUUUUCAAGUAGGGGUGAUAAGCCUAUCGAACUUAGAGAUAGCUGGUUGUUCAGGAAAAGAGUCUCAGCUCUACCUUAAGUUUUUUUUAUUAACCUAAGCAAACCCCAAGACUUAAGAGCUAUUCAAGUAAGGCACAGCUUACUUGAAACAGGAUACAACCUCCACUAUUGGGUAAACAAGAACAAAUUAAAUAAAGUGGGCCUAAAAGCAGCCAUCUUACAAAAAGCGUUAAAGCUUAACUUAUAAAUACUCAUAAUUCCACUAAUUCUUAUUAACCCAUUAUUACUACUGAACAAUUUUAUAAUUGUAUAAAAAAUAUUAUGCUAGAACUAGUAACAAGAAACUGCCUUUCUCCUAAAUGUAAGCCUACACCACAGCGGACCACCCACUGGUAUUUAACGCAACUGUCCCCAUUAUAGCAACACUCAACUAGAAAACCCUAUAAUCACUAACGUUAACCUCACACUAGAACAUUUUAGGAAAGAUUAAAAGAAAAAGAAGGAACUCGGCAAACCCUAGCCCCGCCUGUUUACCAAAAACAUCGCCUCUUGCCCAAUAUAAGAGGUCCAGCCUGCCCAGUGACAUAGUUCAACGGCCGCGGUACCCUAACCGUGCGAAGGUAGCAUAAUCACUUGUUCCUUAAAUAGGGACUAGUAUCAACGGCAUCACGAGGGCUACACUGUCUCCUCUCUCCAAUCAGUGAAACUGAUCUCCCCGUGAAGAAGCGGGUAUUUCAAUAUAAGACGAGAAGACCCCAUGGAGCUUUAAACUUAAUAUACACCUUCAAUUACUUAUACCAAUAAACCAUAAAGCCUGUGUAUUAGUUUUAGGUUGGGGGGACCGCGGAGUAAAACUUAACCUCCACGACAAACGGGCCAACGCCCUUAUCCAUGAAACACAAUUCUAAGAAUCAAUAAUCUGAUGUUUUAUGACCCGAUAAGUCGAUCAACGAACCAAGUUACCCUGGGGAUAACAGCGCAAUCUA
rnacentral:rRNA from 1 species